rnacentral:rRNA from 1 species
CGACCAGACUCCUACGGGAGGCAGCAGUGGGGAAUAUUGCACAAUGGGGGAAACCCUGAUGCAGCGACGCCGCGUGAGUGAAGAAGUAUUUCGGUAUGUAAAGCUCUAUCAGCAGGGAAGAAAAUGACGGUACCUGACUAAGAAGCCCCGGCUAACUACGUGCCAGCAGCCGCGGUAAUACGUAGGGGGCAAGCGUUAUCCGGAUUUACUGGGUGUAAAGGGGGCGUAGACGGCAGCGCAAGUCUGAAGUGAAACCCCAUGGCUUAACCAUGGAACUGCUUUGGAAACUGUGCAGCUGGAGUGCAGGAGAGGUAAGCGGAAUUCCUAGUGUAGCGGUGAAAUGCGUAGAUAUUAGGAGGAACACCAGUGGCGAAGGCGGCUUGCUGGGCUUUUACUGACGCUGAGGCUCGAAAGCGUGGGGAGCAAACAGGAUUAGAUACCCGUGUAU